CCCUUAGAUGUUCUGGGCCGCACGCGCGCUACACUGAUGCAUUCAACGAGUCUAAAACCUGCUCUGAUAGGGGUGGGUAAUCUUUUGAAUGUGCAUCGUGAUUGGGAUAGAUGAUUGCAAUUUUUCAUCUUCAACGAGGAAUGCCUAGUAAACGCAAGUCAUCAGCCUGCAUUGAUUACGUCCCUGCCCUUUGUACACACCGCCCGUCGCUCCUACCGAUUGAAUGAUCCGAUGAAUAUCAUGGAUUGAGGAUGCAAGUAGGUUAGCCUAUCUUCAUCUUCGAGAAGUGAAGUAAAUCUUAUCAUUUAGAGGAAGGAGAAGUCGUAACA
rnacentral:rRNA from 1 species